rnacentral:rRNA from 1 species
AUUGAACGCUGGCGGCAUGCCUUACACAUGCAAGUCGAACGGUAACAGGUUAAGCUGACGAGUGGCGAACGGGUGAGUAAUGUAUCGGAACGUGCCUAGUCGUGGGGGAUAACGUAGCGAAAGCUACGCUAAUACCGCAUACGAUCUCUGGAUGAAAGCGGGGGACCUUCGGGCCUCGCGCGAUUAGAGCGGCCGAUAUCAGAUUAGGUAGUUGGUGGGGUAAAGGCCCACCAAGCCGACGAUCUGUAGCUGGUCUGAGAGGACGACCAGCCACACUGGGACUGAGACACGGCCCAGACUCCUACGGGAGGCAGCAGUGGGGAAUUUUGGACAAUGGGCGCAAGCCUGAUCCAGCAAUGCCGCGUGCAGGAUGAAGGCCUUCGGGUUGUAAACUGCUUUUGUACGGAGCGAAAAGGCUCUCUCUAAUAAAGGGGGCUCAUGACGGUACCGUAAGAAUAAGCACCGGCUAACUACGUG